ACUUAAAUUGAAGAGUUUGAUCAUGGCUCAGAUUGAACGCUGGCGGCAGGCCUAACACAUGCAAGUCGAGCGGUAGCACAGAGAGCUUGCUCUCGGGUGACGAGCGGCGGACGGGUGAGUAAUGUCUGGGAAACUGCCUGAUGGAGGGGGAUAACUACUGGAAACGGUAGCUAAUACCGCAUAACGUCGCAAGACCAAAGUGGGGGACCUUCGGGCCUCAUGCCAUCAGAUGUGCCCAGAUGGGAUUAGCUAGUAGGUGGGGUAACGGCUCACCUAGGCGACGAUCCCUAGCUGGUCUGAGAGGAUGACCAGCCACACUGGAACUGAGACACGGUCCAGACUCCUACGGGAGGCAGCAGUGGGGAAUAUUGCACAAUGGGCGCAAGCCUGAUGCAGCCAUGCCGCGUGUGUGAAGAAGGCCUUCGGGUUGUAAAGCACUUUCAGCGGGGAGGAAGGCGAUAAGGUUAAUAACCUUGUCGAUUGACGUUACCCGCAGAAGAAGCACCGGCUAACUCCGUGCCAGCAGCCGCGGUAAUACGGAGGGUGCAAGCGUUAAUCGGAAUUACUGGGCGUAAAGCGCACGCAGGCGGUCUGUCAAGUCGGAUGUGAAAUCCCCGGGCUCAACCUGGGAACUGCAUUCGAAACUGGCAGGCUAGAGUCUUGUAGAGGGGGGUAGAAUUCCAGGUGUAGCGGUGAAAUGCGUAGAGAUCUGGAGGAAUACCGGUGGCGAAGGCGGCCCCCUGGACAAAGACUGACGCUCAGGUGCGAAAGCGUGGGGAGCAAACAGGAUUAGAUACCCUGGUAGUCCACGCCGUAAACGAUGUCGAUUUGGAGGUUGUGCCCUUGAGGUGUGGCUUCCGGAGCUAACGCGUUAAAUCGACCGCCUGGGGAGUACGGCCGCAAGGUUAAAACUCAAAUGAAUUGACGGGGGCCCGCACAAGCGGUGGAGCAUGUGGUUUAAUUCGAUGCAACGCGAAGAACCUUACCUGGUCUUGACAUCCACAGAACUUUCCAGAGAUGGAUUGGUGCCUUCGGGAACUGUGAGACAGGUGCUGCAUGGCUGUCGUCAGCUCGUGUUGUGAAAUGUUGGGUUAAGUCCCGCAACGAGCGCAACCCUUAUCCUUUGUUGCCAGCGGUUAGGCCGGGAACUCAAAGGAGACUGCCAGUGAUAAACUGGAGGAAGGUGGGGAUGACGUCAAGUCAUCAUGGCCCUUACGACCAGGGCUACACACGUGCUACAAUGGCAUAUACAAAGAGAAGCGACCUCGCGAGAGCAAGCGGACCUCAUAAAGUAUGUCGUAGUCCGGAUUGGAGUCUGCAACUCGACUCCAUGAAGUCGGAAUCGCUAGUAAUCGUAGAUCAGAAUGCUACGGUGAAUACGUUCCCGGGCCUUGUACACACCGCCCGUCACACCAUGGGAGUGGGUUGCAAAAGAAGUAGGUAGCUUAACCUUCGGGAGGGCGCUUACCACUUUGUGAUUCAUGACUGGGGUGAAGUCGUAACAAGGUAACCGUAGGGGAACCUGCGGUUGGAUCACCUCCUUACCUUAAAGAA
rnacentral:rRNA from 1 species